rnacentral:siRNA from 1 species
CACAAUCCCCACGAGGAACACUGC